rnacentral:lncRNA from 1 species
GGUAAAGUUUAUUAACAUCUCUAUGUGCAUCCUUUAUAAAGAUCUUGAACAUACUUCCUUGCAACUUGAGAUAUCUGGUAAGCAUCACAAAAUAAACGUUUCGUAUAGAGCAGGGUAGAAGUUUCACUACUGCAUCUUAAUCAUGGAGCUUACACAUGCUGACACAUAACUGCAGGUAAUUAUAGAACACAAACACCCUUCACGAAUGCUCCUCC